CCCCGGAACCACUGGUUGAAAACGAUGGGGGAUGGACCUGUGGUAGGGGUGAAAGGCCAAGCAAACUCGGUGAUAGCUGGUUCUCCGCGAAAUGCAUUUAGGUGCAGCGUCACGUGUUCAGUUAUGGAGGUAGAGCACUGAAUGGGCUAGGGGCCCACAAGGUUACCGAACCCAAUCAAACUCCGAAUACCAUAACUCCAGAGCGUGGCAGUGAGACCAUGGGGGAUGAGCUUCAUGGUCGAGAGGGAAACAGCCCAGACCGCCGGCUAAGGCCCCUAAUUCUGGACUAAGUGGUAAACGAUGUGAGACUGCCCAGACAGCCAGGAGGUUGGCUUAGAAGCAGCCACCCUUGAAAGAGUGCGUAACAGCUCACUGGUCGAGUGGUCUUGCGCGGACAAUGUAACGGGGCUCAAGUCCAGAGGUCGACGCGGCCGCGAAUUACCCUACCUCUCCACUCGUUACCCUGUCUCAUUCAACCGUACCACUCCCAACCAUCAUCCAUCACUCUACUUACUACUACCAUCCACCGCGUCGACGCGGC
rnacentral:rRNA from 1 species